UUGGAGUUGGUUUCCAUGCAGCAAGUGGCCUGGCAGUCAGAUCCUCUCCCCUGGGACUGGGACUCCAACUAAGGACACUCCUGGGACUAAGUAUGCUUUUUAUGGAAGAAAAGGAAUACUACAUGAAUGAUCAUAAAGUUGCCUACUUGUUAGCUGAAUUGAUCCAGGCUGGAUGUUCAAACCUUGACAGAUUUGGAGUACUCUCUUCUGCUGUCAUAAGCUGCUUACAGGAAUACUGCUGGUCCGGGCUUGUUGCUAGGUCCCAAGUAAUCACAACCAGGGAAUUCACAGAGUAGGUGUGAUUUUCCUCCAGCCACUGUCAGACCAGCUCAGCUUGUCUAUUUAUGCCCAUGAAUGUAUCAAGGUGCAUGCUGCUUGAGCUAGCCAUCAAAAUAAUCCUUAUCCUCUGUGAAUUUUAACUUGAGAAGAAUGUGAGAGCUCCAAUGAUUGUUUUAGUGAGGUAGCUACUUGGCAGAUGCACCUAAUUUUUGUUGAGCCAUUUGCACUGGUAAAUAUUAACACUUGGC